GCCGGAGUGGCGGAACUGGCAGACGCGACGGGCUCAAAAUCCGUUUCCCGCAAGGGAGUGGGGGUUCGAGUCCCCCCUCCGGCACCA
rnacentral:tRNA from 1 species